GCCUUGAAAGAAAGCAGAUGUACCUUCCUCUGUCUGGAUUGGAGUUAGAGGGAUGGAACCCAUGCCUGGAGAAUCUUUAAAUCAUCUUUCAUAAAAAGGGUCUCACUAUGUAGCCAGGACUGGCCUUGAACUUGCAAUCUCCUUGCAUUAGCCUCCCAAGGCUUGCAAUAUAGUUUUGGAGGCUAGAAGUCCACAACAUUAUGCAGGCACUGGAAAGUCCUCCCUACCCCCACAGGCUGUAUCAUACUACAAUGGGAGUGU